rnacentral:piRNA from 1 species
AGAGAUUGGGCUGAGCACAGAGGAAAGGA